UUAUUCAAAACCCCAACAAAUAUAUAGAAUGUACUCUAUUUUUCCCGCAUGUUUUUUCGUUCUUUCUCUCCCAUUCGUUGUUUUUUCCUUUCCUUGUUCUUCUUCCUAAUCCCUAAUAAAGCACUCAACGAAGGAGAGAAGUGUCGUUGCUGAUGAAGGCGCCUCACCGCCGUAGCUCGCCGCUUCCGGUUUCUAGGAUUUCGCUUCUCUUUCACGGUUUCUCGUCUUUCUACGAACCUCAUCGAUCUGGCAGGUUCUGAGAGCUCAAGGACUGAAACAAUUGGCAUGAGAAGGAGAGAAGGAUCUUACAUCAAUAAAAGUUAUUUCAAAAUUGAUUGAAGGCAAAGCUAGUCAUAUAUACCUUACAGGGACUCCAAAUUGACUAGACUUCUUCAGUCUUCUCUUAGUGGUCAUGGACGUAUAUCUCUAGAAGAGGGUCAAUUCAAGUUGCAAUCAAGAUUGGAGUAAGAAGAAGAUGCUAAAGUUGCUUUAUUAGGAAGAAUUCAACGCUUGACUAAGUUAAUUUUGGUCUCCACUAAACCAUCAUACUCAAAUAGAUUUUCUAACCAUCCUAGUCCUUGCAGAAGACAUUCUUUUGGGGAAGAAGAGGUGUUCAAUGGAAAGCAGUGGAAGAAAUUCAACAGUCAGAAAGUGGCAUCACUUGCAUAUGCUCGCAUACAAGGGAAAGCAACACUCAUUGCCCACUUCCAAAAUUCAAGCUUGAUGAAUGAGGAUAUGAUGAUAAGCGUUGCAUGCCUAUCCUCUUCAAUACAGAUGGUCCUAAUGCCAGUGACCAGGACCAUAUACAAUAUGUUCACUCAGAAGCCACCUCAUGAAUAUUCCCAACAACUGUAUGACAAGUGCAAGGUCUUUCUUCUAACCAUGUGAGACCCAUGUUGGGAUUCAUAUCAGGCAACCAAGCAACCUCCUCAACCUGCUUUAAGUGAUGCUAAGUUUCUAGUGGAAUCUGAUGCUCAUGUGACAUAUAUAUUCAAAUCACUUAACAUAAAAUGGAGUUUCUGAUCAAGGAAGUGUGCCAACUAGUACAAGUUCUGGACAUAAGCAAAAUCAUAUGUGAUAGUUGAAGAAUAUAAUAUAAUGUGGAAGUUAAUUGAAUCAUUUUAUGUUUGAGAACCAUUGCAGUACUUCAUGAUAGUUUUUGUUGACUAAUAUUGUAGUUGAAUUUGAAUUUGAAUUCGUAUAUUUGUUAUACUUUGAUAUACA